rnacentral:rRNA from 1 species
AACGAACGCUGGCGGCAUGCCUAACAUAUGCAAGUCGAACGAUUGCCUUCGGGUGAUAGUGGCGCACGGGUGCGUAACGCGUGGGAAUCUGCCCUUAGGUUCGGAAUAACAGCUGGAAACGGCUGCUAAUACCGGAUGAUAUCGCGAGAUCAAAGAUUUAUCGCCUGAGGAUGAGCCCGCGUUGGAUUAGGUAGUUGGUGGGGUAAAGGCCUACCAAGCCGACGAUCCAUAGCUGGUCUGAGAGGAUGAUCAGCCACACUGGGACUGAGACACGGCCCAGACUCCUACGGGAGGCAGCAGUGGGGAAUAUUGGACAAUGGGCGCAAGCCUGAUCCAGCAAUGCCGCGUGAGUGAUGAAGGCCCUAGGGUUGUAAAGCUCUUUUACCCGGGAAGAUAAUGACUGUACCGGGAGAAUAAGCCCCGGCUAACUCCGUG